AUUUGUAACAUUUUAUGUGGCUUUUUAAAUUAAAAUUCCACCCCCCACUUCUUUAGGGUUUUUUUUGCGGAUUUGUCACGGGUGAGCGCGGGGGGCAUCGCGCAGCUCCCGCCGCCGCGCUCCCCUCACGGUGCUGCUGGGGACGCCUCCCCGGCCCCGGUGCCCGUCGGGGCUGCCGGAGCUCACCGCGCCGAGCCCGGCUGGGCAGCGGAGGGAAACGGACACCAGUGACCGCAUCGCCAUGGCUUUGUUGCGGUUCAGUUUUGAGGCGCAACUCCUUCAGGUUUCCUCCAUGUGGGCUUUUUCUUCAGACCAGUAGAAGAAAAUGAUGGCCAGACCCUUUGCGAUGCAGCGAUUACACGGCAAGGCUACAGCAGACUAAAAGCAAAGCCGUGGGGAAUCCAAUUUCCCUCUUGUGAGCAAAAGGGCAUCAGUGCCUUUCUUAGAAGGUUUGAUUGAUAGCCCUUAAGAAGGACUCAUAAAAUGUGCCUCUCUCUGGCUAUUUAGGCAAUUCUCUUUUGAAGAUGAAGGAGAAUAUUAGAUUAAUCCAACUGCUGUAACGGCAUUAUCUUCUGCUUUUAAAGAAAACAUAUUUUAUGGCGUCCACACUCUAACGGAAACAACCUGCGGCUGCAUGAGCCCUGGGCUGGUGCUUUGCUGCUAAACAUAGAGGCAUGGGAGCCUUGGGUUUUCAUCCAGAUUCUGGGGAGCUGCUGUACAUACCAAACUUGCACCUCCAUCCCACAUGGACAGCUUGUGGACAACAGAGAAACCAAGGCUAGGGUGGACCACAGGGUCUGAAUUCCAUUCCUGUCCAUAGGGGAGCUAUGGGAGUACCCUGCAAAAUGUGUCCCACAGGAGGGUGCCUCCCAUCCUCUCUACAGGCAAUAAAAUCAUCAUCUACUACCCAGAAACAUCCCCGAGGAGGAAUAGUCAGGAUGGGAAGGGAGUGCAGAGCAGGUAAGUCUCAGGUGGGACACAGCAGCUCAUCUCCAUCUCUGCCUGCUCUGUUCCCAUCUGGGUCUGCUCGUGGCCUGGGGAACGCAGCAGCUCGUGUCUGGAAAGGUCCCUUGAGCAAGGAAGAACCAAUUAAUGGAUUAUUCCCUCCUCGAAAGAAAUGUUAUCUCUUCUCAGUAGUACUGAAGGGAGAAAAAAAAAAUCAGGAUUGUGACGACAACAGACAUCAACCUGUGGCUUAUGCUCACCAAUGCCUUAAACUCACCUUCUGAGAAUUCAUUUAUUGCUGCCAAAGGAUGAAAAAAUAUCAGGACUCCCCAGAACCAGAGCAGUUGCCAUGAAUUUGUGAAGGUCAGCCCCUUGCCUGGUCCAGAAACAGCAAUGAACUCUUCCCAGCUUCCAGGUCUCAGGGCAAAACCAGAGUGUCUGGUUUUUGGGUUGCAUCUUCUGUAGUUUCAUUCUUGUCCCCUGGUUCACCAGCUGAACAAAACUGACCCUGCAGUGAAGAAGCUGCUUUACAUUUAAAAUACUCCUUUCUCCUUGUGAUGUACUCCUGGACACUGCAAAAACUGCCUUGCUUGUCCCAGGAUUUAAUCAGAUUAAUUAAACUGCACUUGUAUUAAUUUAAAUUACAAGUAUCUGAGGACUCAGCCAAAUCAAGUGAUUUAUGGGCCAUAUCAAUCUAAUUAAUACCACCAACUCCUAAAAUAAAAACCUAAUAAAUGAGUUUAUUAUACUUCUGUAAGAUCAACUUAUUAGCUUUGGGUCUCUAGUGACACAGCUGAUUUGAUGGAAGUUUUAUAUCCUCGUUGAAAAAGGUCUUAUUUUUUUUUUCCCUUCCCACUUGCUGUAUUUUUAAAAAGUAUAUUCUACAGGGCAGGAGGAAAGAGAAACAACACAAAUACAGUUAUCAAAACACUAGCCAAGUCAAGAGGUCCCCAAAGUCCCGCUGUACACAAAUUGUGGGGGUUUUAAACCUGUGAGUGCCCACAGGAGAACAGUUUAUCUGACUUCUUGCAGGCAGAACCUGCCCUGGUCUGUACCUUCCAGCUAAGCAGCCUGGAACUGCAGGUAGCCAGGGAAUGAGGAUGCAAAAGGAAUAAGAAGAGAACUAAAAGCUUCUCUGAAGCAAAUCUGAGCAGGAAGGAGCUGGGAUGGUUUAGAAGGCGCUGCUCAUCAAGGUGACUUUGCUGGGCUGACGUUGCACUGUCUGAAGCAGUGACUAAAAUGCCACUUGCACGGAGACAACUUAGGGAUGCCAAAGCUUCCCUUCGUCACCACAGUGAGGGACUUCAAAAUUCAUCAUGGGACUUAAUUCCAGGGAAUGCAGGAGGCAUCUCCAAGCCACAGCCCAGUGGAAGGAAGAGUGGAGUAAAUGAGGAGCAGGGCCUUGCUCAGCCGUGCCCUUGCCCACCACUCCCUUGGCAGCUGGGCUCUGUGUUGAUUGGCCUUUCAGCCAUGCUUUCCCUUCAGUUCUGGAGUUCACGCUCGAUUUCCCGAGCUGUAAGAUUGUUUCCCUUGCUUUGCAAAUCCCCUUGGAGCAAACAGCCACUCGAUGGAAACAGGAGCAGACUCCCUCUCGUUACCCUUUGCUUACAAAGUGCAUGUCAUUAGGAGGAGUGUUAACAAGAGCUCUCAAUAGCUUCAUAUGGCCAAUGGCCUCUGAAUAUUCAUGAAGGUGUGAACAGAAUGUGGGAAAGCAGUGGAAGAAAAGGCAAGAAAAGCGGCAAGAGGGCUGAUUGUGCCGGGAAGAAAGGAGCCAGGGCUCUGUGGGAAAAAGCGAUCCUGAAUCCCUCAAACAAGAGCGUAUUCCCUAGGCAAAACCUGUCCUUCAAGCUGUGGGAUGGUAUUGAUGGAGCUAAGGAGGUGGGAUUUUUCUGAGCAGGGCUGGCAGGGAACCAGCUUCUGGCAUUUGAGGUGACAGUGCCCAGGUUUUUUUUUAAACUAAAAUCACAGCAGCCUGUAAACUAAAAUCACUGGCACCUCUUUUUGGGGAUGUGCAACCCUCUCUCCAGGCUUAUCGGAUCACAGGAGGGAUCCAGAAGGUGUUUUUCACUGGAUGCCCAAUAUUGAAAUGGGGAUGAACUCACAGCAGAUGGAGAAAACAGGAAGCAAAGGAGCAAGUCUGGAUUUUGCUCGAGCACUGCAGUGCUCAUCAUGCUAAGGGGAACAACUCACCUACACCCAGACAAAAUCAUGGAAUCACAGAAUCAGAGACUGUUUCAUUUGGAAGGAGCUAGAGACAUAAUCUCAUUCCCCUCCCUACCAUGGGUAGGGACGCCUUCCACUGCCCCAGGUUGCUCCAAGGCCAUCCAACCUGGCCUUGGACACUUCCAUGGAUGGGGCAGCCACAGCUUCUCUGAGCAUCUCCAUGGCCACCUCUGGACUCGCUCCACAUCCUCCUGAUGCUGGGAGACCCAGUCAGACACUGCACACCUGCUGUCCAGCACCUGCCUCCCCUCCUGCACCUCCCUGCAUCCCCAGCUCUAGAGAAAUCCCUCAUCUGCCUGUGGCAGAGCCCAGCAGGGUUUCCCAGGGGGCAGGCAGGAUAAGGGAAGAUGCUUUUCCUAUACACCACCUCUGCAGGCUGUGCAGCCCCUGCUUCUGCUCUGUCAUGGGGCCAGGGAUUUCAGCUGAGCUGGUUUAACACAGAGCUCUUCCUCAGCUCAUUUUGGAGCAAAAUUAUACUGCAGAGUUGCCUCUUCUUGAAAGGCUCCAAUCUCGCGUGUCAGUGCCAGAUAAAUAGUUUUCAUUCAACAAAUCAAUGAAUAGAAACAAAGUACAGCAAAAUAAUGUCAAGUCAUUUCACUGAUAACGACAGCUGCUGGGCUGCAAGGAGACAGGGAGAGCAGGAGGGGGUGUGGGGGAAUAGAUUAAAAAAUGUAAAAAGCAAUGAAUCACAGCUGGGGGGAAAAUCAUAAAACCACAAGCCACCGCAGCUCCCACACAAAUGUACACGGUAUUUACUCAUCUAUUUCUAACAAAAUUGCAAGUAGAAUAGAAAGGAAAAGAGGGAGGGCAAUGGUGAAAGCAAAUUGUUCAAACUAUCUUUGUUGGAAAAGCAAAAGGGCUUUUAUUCCAGCAGGAAGCAAACAGCAUGGCUCCAAGAGCUGAGGGAGGGGAUGAGGUCCCAGCCCUGCACCAGCACUCCUUCCUCCCACAGGUCCUUACCUUGCUGCUUUUGGGUCAUCAUUUCCUUGCUGCUUUCUUUCACCUUGGAGCAAUCUGUUGCUGUUUGCUUUUACGAGAGGAAAUCCUGAUUUUGGGAAUUCCCUGGGAAACAUGCAGCCCUGCAGGGCCAGCCCUGUGGUGCUGCAUGCCUGUGCCGAGGAGCUUGACUGAACCAGCACUGGUUCUCCAUAGGUCUGUUUGGCAGGAGCAGUCUGGAAAAUGAUUAUCCUGAGAAAAGACUUUAUGCUGGGGAGGAAAACACAGCCCUUUAAUCCCAGCUGCCGUUUGCCGUUUUGUUAUUAAUCCCAUAAAAUGACAGGAGGGUUAAUUGUGCUCAGGCCUUAAGUUCUUCCAGAAAAGAUUUUCCUGUUAUCCUGUCCCAGACCAGCACUGUGACCCCAAACACUAAAAGUAUACCAUGACUUUAGCCUGAAAUGACUUGCCUAAAUCUUCACUCCUUUCCCUCAGGUCUCAGAAGCCUCCAAGGAUGUACACUAAGGACUGCAGACUGGGAACCUUGUAUAGGAACAGGGCAGAGCACAGGCCAGUGCUUCCCCCACUCCUGAACAGGGUGUGCUUCUCUGUGGGUGAAAAAUGAGGAAUGAAUAAAAAUAUGAAUUGUAUGUGCCUUGAGCCACCCCCCCAGACCUUCUGGGACAGCACUAGAUGGAACUGGGGUGCCUGCAAAGCUCAUUCUGCUCAGAGAGACAAACAGGAGGCUGAGCACAAGGUGACUGUAUGAGGGGACAUCUCUUGCACUGCCCAUUCCACUCACACAGGUUCCUCUGCCGGGGCACCAGGGCCACCUCCUCCCCCGUGGCACUUGUCCCACCUCUGUGAGGCUGCGUCCUGCAGUCCCUGGUGCGACAGCUCCGGCUGGUGGCUGCAGAGGGCUGCAAACAGCAUUCACAUGGAAACACUCGGGAGAGGGAACAUGGCUGUGCCACGGAAAUGCCUGAUCUUCCUGAUGGGAUCCAUCUCCCAAACCACAAGGGACAGGAAACACGGCAGAUGCUUUUGUGGAACAACCGGCGUGCAUCAAACACACAUCACUGCUGCUUUCCACAGCGCAACGAGGGCACAGAUUUAAUUACACACAAGCUCUCCUAAAUCAAGGAGACAGACAGUUGAAAAUAGGGUGGAAAAAAACCCAACAUUUAAUUCAAUUUAUUUAGCAGCAUCUUUAUUGCAACAAAGGUUUUGUAAUAAAACGCAGCAAAACUAAUGUCUCCACUUUACAUGAUUAAAAGCCAUGGAGCUCGGGAGGGGGGAGGAGGGAGCCCAAUAAACCCACUGGAGUGAGACAUGCAAUUUUGUUAACGCAAACAGCAGGCACUUCAUGUUCUCAAAUUAAACACCUGAACUUCUACUGCGCAGAACAGCCAGGGAAAAACCGCAGGAAGAGCUCUCUGCCCCUUCCAAAGGGGCACAUAGAAAGUCUCUGUAGGGUUCUGGCACUCAAGGAAACAGGCAGCCCAAGGCAGGGGCCUCACCUGGCUCAUGUUUUGCUCACUCAGAUUCUGUUAUUGCCUGGGCAGGGGUUGGGUGUCACGGCAGCAGCAGGACAGCCGGACACACGGACACACAGCAGGAGCACAACCCACUUCUCCUGGCAGGGAAUAUGGGUUGGAACUCAGAGUAUGAGAAUUCUCUGUAAUUUCCUACCCAGGUUCCAGGUUCAGGCACAGGUGCUCCAGGGUUAAAGCAUUACUACACUAUCCCACUCAGAAAGUUUUUCCAUAGCCUAUUUCCAAAUGCCACCAGUAAAUAGGGAAUGCAUUUUCCGUUCUAAUAUAAUGAACUUAGUUAUUUUCAAAGAUUUGCUUGGUGCUUUGAGCUCAUUUUCCCAUUGAGUUUGUAAAAAUUAAGCCUUUCUAAGUGGAUAUUAAUUUUUCUGUGUUCUGAAUAAAAAGAGAUCAUUGAGAACAAAGGGAGGUGGGGGUGAAACCAAACAGCUUUGCACAUCCCACACUCACGAGGCAUCACUGGAAACCACACUAAAAUGGGGUGAAAGAACAUGCUUUCACCAGAAACAAACACAACCAAACCCAACCACCUCAAAAGACAGGAAACUGCCUGCACCAACACGCAACAACUUCGGUAUCUCAGCACUCAGAUCCCCAUAUUUCAUAUAUGUUCUUAAACAUAUGAAAACAUUCAUCUCAAAGACACCUGUGCAACUAAAUAUCCACCAUGCAAGGAAAGCUCAGUCCUGCUCCUGGCUCAGAGCUCCUGCUGGGCAGACACACCUGCAAGGCACAGGGGCCUCUGCAGGGACAUACCAACCUCUGCUUUGGGAGCCACAGCAAAGGCUCCUCCUCACAUCUUUUUUGCUCCAUGUGCUCCCCCAGGGUCUCAUAGUUCUGCUUAAAACUCACAUUAACUAAGAGAUUUUUUUAACAUGCAGGAAGUGAAGAAAUACAAUCCCAAGUAUCAAACAGGCUGGAAACCCUCUCGAGCGAUAUUCCCAUCUCCAGGACUGUAAGGUACAGCCUUGUCCUCAUCCUUGGCCAGACCAACACUUCACCAUACAAGGUACAGAAAUACCACUCCCCCCCAGAAAUAAGGAUGCAAAGUCCCUCAGCACUAACACCUUCCUACCUCUGCAGUCUCGAUCACAACGGGGCCUUUCUUCACUGGGAAUUUAGCUGGAAUCAGACUUCAUCUAAGGCAUCUCUUUUGCAAGAACUACAAAACUCUGGUGAUAAAUCCUUCCACCACUUCCACAGGAUAAGAAAGCACGGGGUCUUAAAGUGCUUAACUACAGUAAAAAGAAAAGAAAAUGAUAGGAAAAGAAAGAAUCCAUAAUUUAUGUUGUAAAACAGAGCAGUUACAAUAUAUUGUACUUUAAUAGCUUUUUGAUGUAUAUAUUUAAAACAGUGGAAGGAUGCAUUAUUAAAUAUUCUAUGUCAGCACUUACAAUUACAUCCUGCCUCAAAUCCAAACCCAGCCUGGUUUACUUACGUAAUGUUUAGUUCUUCAGUCCCCCAAAAAAGCACUGUUUGAUGAAGGCCAUUUUUGUUCUGUUUUUUAAACAAAAGGAUCAAUUUCAUCUUAAAAAUCAUAUACAUUUACAUUCAAGGGUAAUCACCUCUAGAAAAAGAACAAAAACACCCCAAAAACGCAUUUAAUUUAAUAUUGAACAAAAUAUAAACAACCUUGGAAAAGGUGAAUACUAUCCAUGGGUAAUUUUAUACAUAUAUGUAUAUAUGAACAGAUAUAGAUAUAUGUAUAUAUAAUACAGCAUAAACACGUUGGGAACACAAUGGAAUUCCAGAGGAACAGCUUAUUUUUGUCUCUUCCCACUGUUGUGUUGCACACGUGCUCCUCUCUCGGUGCUGACUUUAACAUUCUCCCCAGGGAUGCUGCCUUUGCUUCAGACUCAAUUCACCACUAAGAGAAGACAUUCCUGGAGCUGGGCUCCUCCUCUGCCCAAAAUCAACCCGUUAUUGACCUGCUAAUGGUGUUUUAACUGACCCACUUGUAAUCGCUGCCAUCUGAAAACCAGCGAACAGCCCGAACCAAGGCUCCCCACUGCGGAGGAAACUCCCUGCACGCCUGUUGGCUUUGGCUCCUUUGUUUAUCUCAAAAACCAGAUCCUGUUCUCACACACGGCUUUUACAACCGUGUAACCGCCCCAGCUCCCCUCGCUUUGGUGCACAUGCCCAGCAAUUUAACUGAAAAACGAUGCAGUUUGAUCUGAUACAGCCAGACUCUUAAAUCCCAGAGUUCUGGGAUCAAGCUGAACAGUACAAAAUCAAGGAAAGUACAAGGUUACAACAUGUGGAGUUCUAAGAGCGUGAACACUGAGAGUGAUUCCAGAAUUUCAGCAGAUGAAAAGAAAAGCAUGCUCUGCUUGUCUCUAGCACCAAAACAGAAAGAAAACUAAGUUCUUCGGUUUCUAAGAAAACCAUUAAAACUUAUCAGAGUCUCAGAGGCAAGUCCCAAAGGGAGAAUUUUCUGGAUUAGAGAGUAACUUUCUAUGGAAUUCUAUCCUGAAUUACCUGUUGCCAGUUAAAAGUGCUUUCACACACUUAUGUUUUCAGCCAAGCCUGCUGCUUAGUUAAAACCUCAGUACCAAAACACAACUGGGACUGCAAUUCCUUGAGGGUUACCCGAAGCUGUACAGAAAAGGGUUCCCAAAGACAGCAUCACAUCAUCAUGCACAGUAGUGCUAGAAAGGACCCAGGAACAGGGGACUGGACAGGGCAUGAGCCUGGGAAACAGCCCCUCAUACAAGAGGAAAUUCAACAGAACAGUUCAUAUUGCCUCACAUGUAAGGUCUCCCCACACAUCCUCUGCAGACCUUGGAAUUAGAAUAUUGAAUGUCUAAAUUGUAACAAGAUGCAUAUGCCUAUACCAUGCUGAUGUGAGGGUGAGGAAGGAGUAUUGCAAACCCAGCUCCAGA